rnacentral:lncRNA from 1 species
UUUCAGGCAAUUAGCAGUUAUACUCAUAGCCAAUCAGAUAUCUACUUUUGGCCAUCAAUCCCAGAGCCUUAUUUUCCACGAGGAACCGAGUAAAAAAGGCUCUGGGGACGAGAAUGAUUUCCCGUUCCUAUUCCCCGUUCCCAUUUCCGUUUUCAGCAGGGGCCGGUUGUACGAAAGGUGGAUACCGCUAUCCGCCGGAUCGCGAUUUUUUCAGACUCUGUAAAACUAUUUAUUUACUGGUAUAUGCCUGACUAAAGUUCAGUAUUUUCGAGUUGAAGUUUCGUUUAAUUAAUUGUAAGUUUGAUAUUUGUAGUUUUAUAGCUUUUCAAGCAUUUUUACGACGUUUGAAAAAUCACUAUCCGGUGGAUAGCGCUAUCCAGCUUUCGUACAACCGGCCCCAGGUGGAGAGUAAUAUACCUAUGUGCUGACAUAAGUACUCAUCGGAGGCAUAUCAGAUAGAGGCUUGUAUAUAGCAGUCAAUCGAGACGUCUUUUUAUUCAUUUUAUGCACACUUACGCACGGGGAAGACA